GGAGAAAAAGACAAACAAAUUAAAAUGGAGGAAGUAAGAAGACAACUCCUCACACCAUCUAGGACCCCAAGUCUCUACCACAUCCAAUCAGCUUUUCAACAAGAUAGGUUUCACUUUUCUCAAAAGGAUCCAGCAUGGCACAUUAUCCUCAUUCUUGCACUUUAUUUUACAUAUCUUUUACUUUCUUCAUUUGAAAAGACAAGUCAGACAGAAACACUUGAGAUCAAAUUCAAACUUAAUUUUAUAGUUUAAGAACCAUUAGGUCUUUUU
rnacentral:misc_RNA from 1 species